GUAGAUUACUUCUUUUACUAGCUUGCACAGUUUCUGGUUUCAGAAGAAAGAGCAGUGACUAGAAAGAGAAGAAGAACAAUGACAGAGCUCGAAAUUUUUGUUUUUCAUUUUUCCCAAUGAAUUUCUUCUUCUCUGCUUAGCGUUGUUGUCAUUUUUUCUGAAAGAACAAUGUCUGGUUUGUGGUUUCAGAUUACUUAUUUUCCACUUCUUUUCUCAAAGAAUUGACAACGAUAACGACAUCCAAAUACUCGGAUGCUUUCUUCUCUCCAUCUAACUAUACUCCAAGAUCUUGUCGAAGAAGCAGGAGGUGAAGCAGACGCCGGUGGGACGCCAUCGUCUCCUCGCUCGCGCGCAUCAAGCUCAUCUUCUUCUUCGUCCCUGGCGGGCGGAUGCAGUCGGCGCCGGCCAAGACCACCAGCUGCCGCUUCACCGGAGCCUCACUCUCUCCUCCGCCGUCCACCGUCAGCCGAGAUGCCGCCGCCGUCGCGCUAGUCGAUGUCGAUGGAGGCGGCGCCGCAGUUCGAAGUCGACAUCGUCGUCGUCCGAAGCUGGCGGGGAAUCGGAUCCUUCUUCGAGCAGAGCGCCGCGGCGGCCCUGGCGCCGCGGUACGCCGGGCUGUUGCCGUUAAUCAAUCGAGCGGAUGGCGCGGCGGCUGCUGGUGGUGGUGGACGGCGCCCAUGGCGCACGCCACCAUGCGCUGGCAGGCGGACCGCAGCUUGGAGCAAAGGAUGACGACGAGCGCCAUGGAGACGACGCAGCCUUCCCCCCGCACUUGCAGCUGCAUCUCGGUCUUAUUUAAGAUAUCUGCAAGGAAAAUUGUUGAAGCCACAGAAAAAUUCACUGCAUUGGAACCGGAGGUACCGGAUCGGUGUAUACAUUAAGCAGUGCUACCAAACAUGCAACAAGUAAUCAAGGUGUCCUCUACGGCUCAAGGAGCUAGCUGAUAAUCAUCUUGAUUAUCUGCAAGUGCACACUGACAUUCUCAUCCCCGCCUGCUGGUCGUGAAUGUUCUGUAACAGAUUAUGGCUUCUUCCUUUUGAUUAGAUCGAGACUCUUUGUAAUAUUGUGAAAAUUACUGUAGAAGAGUGUGUGUGUACUUGUGUAUAAAUCUUGUAUGGUGGAGGGAAACUAUUUCGACAAUGAACUUUGUAUGGUCCUGUGUCCACAAAUCCCUAAAAUCCAGUGAUUCAAUCUAGUGUUUUU